CCUACGGGAUGCAGCAGUAGGGAAUAUUGCUCAAUGGGGGAAACCCUGAAGCAGCAACGCCGCGUGGAGGAUGAAGGUUUUCGGAUUGUAAACUCCUUUUUUUAGAGAAGAAAAUGACUGUAUCUAACGAAUAAGCACCGGCUAACUCCGGGCCAGCAGCCGCGGUAAUACGGAGGGUGCAAGCGUUACUCGGAAUCACUGGGCGUAAAGAGCGCGUAGGCGGGAUAGCAAGUCAGAUGUGAAAUCCUAUGGCUUAACCAUAGAACUGCAUUUGAAACUGGUAUUCUAGAGUAUGGGAGAGGUAGGUGGAAUUCUAGGUGUAGGGGUAAAAUGCGUAGAGAUCAAGAGGAAUACUCAUUGCGAAGGCGACCUGCUAGAACAUAACUGACGCUGAUGCGCGAAAGCGUGGGGAGCAAACAGGAUUAGAUACCCGAGUAGUC
rnacentral:rRNA from 1 species